rnacentral:rRNA from 1 species
UACGUAGGGGGCCAGCGUUGUCCGGAAUCAUUGGGCGUAAAGCGCGCGUAGGCGGCCAGAUAAGUCCGGUGUGAAAGUCAAAGGCUCAACCUUUGAAUGCCGCUGGAAACUGUCUGGCUUGAGUCCGGAAGGGGCGAGUGGAAUUUCCUGGUGUAGCGGUGAAAUGCGCAGAUAUCAGGAGGAAUACCGGUGGCGAAGGCGGUUCUCUGGGCCUUACCUGACGCUGGAGGAGCGAAAGCGUGGGGAGAAACAGG